rnacentral:tRNA from 1 species
GCCGAAGUGGCGGAAUUGGCAGACGCGCACGACUCAAAAUCGUGUGGGUUUUAUCCCAUGUCGGUUCGACUCCGACCUUCGGCA